ACGGGGAUGGCGAGCGUUACUCGGAUUUACUGGGUGUAAAGGGCAGGUAGGCGGUUUUGCAAGUUGAAGGUUAAAUCCUCUGACUCAAUCAGAGAACUGCCUUCAAAACUACAUUACUUGAGGACUGGAGAGGAGAGCGGAAUUCCCGGUGUAAGGGUGAAAUCUGUAGAUAUCGGGAGGAACACCCGUGGCGAAAGCGGCUCUCUGGCCAGUAUCUGACGCUGAGCUGCGAAAGCUAGGGGAGCAAACAG
rnacentral:rRNA from 1 species